UAAUACAUAAAGUAUCCAAUAAAAAAAAAGAAAAAAAGGAAUAUCCUGGUUACAAAGAUUCGAAACGUCUGGGUUAACUCUAUUACUGAUGAUGAUACAAUUGAUGUGGUUCUUUUCCAACAUGGAUUGCUUUAUAGGUAGUGCAUGCCUCUCUAUAUUAAGAUACUUGAUGGUGGUGAAAGUUAGGCACUAUUAGAGCACCAUGCUGAUAAAUUCUAAGUUCUUAGUAAGUAAGUGUGCAAGUGCAAUGCGAAUUUUACAGAAGCUUGGCAGCCUUUAGACUUACUUCCCAGGAAGGACCAGCCGGCUGACUCAGUGAGUAAAGCUGUGUAAUGGGAGGCUGACCUGACUUCAAUCCCAGAAGCCACACGGCGAAUGGAGAGAACCAACUACUGUCACUGUCCUCUGGUCUACACACACAGGCCACUGCAUGCGACCCCUCUCCACAACUGUGCAUACAGAUGUAAUAAAAAUACUCUAAAGAUGGUGAAGAAUGUUUGAUCAGAGCUAUGCUGCUGCAGUGACUGGGAGAUGAGUCAACAGCAUCAAGCCAUGGUGCCCUCUAAAGUACACUAAGUGGAGAAAGGGUGGACGAAGUUUGUAAGGAUUCAUGACUGAGCAAGAUAAAGCCUUAUCCUGAUACAACUCAAAUGGACACGGAGACUCAGUUGAGAGAAGCACAAAGGAAAAUCCACUUUUGGUGCUGACCUUGCUUUCAGAUCAUUCUGUGGGCAUCUUCUCUGAUUCUAAAAAUCUCAGUUGAACGGCGGUGAUAUAGAAAAGUUGGUAAUACAAUGGCUCAGCGAAAGCUCUCAGAAAAAUAAGAUGCAUUCCGGUUUUCAGUGUUUACAGUUUUAUACUGAAGGAUUGAAGACAGAGGCAGCUUUCUCUGUUAUUUUACUUGUAAAUCCAAAUGAGUAAAACUGAUUAGUUCUUAGUGAGAUGCACCAUGGAAUACAUUGCCCGCUAUGACAUCAUUGUUUCUAUUUAAGCACGAGUUGGCUCAAAGGAAUAGAGAGCUUUUGCUCUGACUUCACACCCAGAGAUGUUUAUAAAUUAAAACUUCAAAAUUUAAUGCUCUUUGAAAAAUUUGAUAAGAUGAAAUGGAACAUCCGUUUGCUUUCCAAAUACUUAUUUUUAGUGGACUUGACUAAGAAGAAUAAAUUGCUACAGGAAAACUCUC
rnacentral:sRNA from 1 species